rnacentral:rRNA from 1 species
AGUGAACGCUGGCGGUAGGCCUAAAACAUGCAAGUCGAACGGCAGCACAGUAAGAGCUUGCUCUUACGGGUGGCGAGUGGCGGACGGGUGAGGAAUACAUCGGAAUCUACUUUUUCGUGGGGGAUAACGUAGGGAAACUUACGCUAAUACCGCAUACGACCUACGGGUGAAAGCAGGGGAUCUUCGGACCUUGCGCGAUUGGAUGAGCCGAUGUCGGAUUAGCUAGUUGGCGGGGUAAAGGCCCACCAAGGCGACGAUCCGUAGCUGGUCUGAGAGGAUGAUCAGCCACACUGGAACUGAGACACGGUCCAGACUCCUACGGGAGGCAGCAGUGGGGAAUAUUGGACAAUGGGCGCAAGCCUGAUCCAGCCAUACCGCGUGGGUGAAGAAGGCCUUCGGGUUGUAAAGCCCUUUUGUUGGGAAAGAAAAGCAGCAGGUUAAUACCCCGCUGUUCUGACGGUACCCAAAGAAUAAGCACCGGCUAACUUCGUG